UACAGAGGUCUCAAGCGUUUGUUCGGAUUCAUUGGGCGUAAAGGGUGCGUAGGCGGCGCGGUAAGUCGGGUGUGAAAUCUCGGAGCUUAACUCCGAAACUGCAUUCGAUACUGCCGUGCUUGAGGACUGGAGAGGAGACUGGAAUUUACGGUGUAGCGGUGAAAUGCGUAGAUAUCGUAAGGAAGACCAGUGGCGAAGGCGGGUCUCUGGACAGUUCCUGACGCUGAGGCACGAAGGUCAGGGGAGCAAACGGGAUUAGAACCGUACC
rnacentral:rRNA from 1 species